CCUACGGGUGGCAGCAGUGGGGAAUAUUGCGCAAUGGGCGAAAGCCUGACGCAGCGACGCCGCGUGAGGGAUGAAGGUCUUCGGAUCGUAAACCUCUGUCAGCAGGGAAGAACGGUCACUGUGCUAAUCAGCAGUGAAUUGACGGUACCUGCAAAGGAAGCACCGGCUAACUCCGUGCCAGCAGCCGCGGUAAUACGUAUGGUGCAAGCGUUAUCCGGAUUUACUGGGUGUAAAGGGAGCGCAGGCGGCACGGCAAGCCUGAUGUGAAAGCCCGCGGCCCAACCGCGGGACUGCAUUGGGAACUACCGGGCUGGAGUGCCGGAGAGGUAGGCGGAAUUCCUAGUGUAGCGGUGAAAUGCGUAGAUAUUAGGAGGAACACCAGUGGCGAAGGCGGCCUACUGGACGGUGACUGACGCUGAGGCUCGAAAGCGUGGGGAGCAAACAGGAUUAGAUACCCCAGUAGUC
rnacentral:rRNA from 1 species